AGGACUGCCCUGUGAAGGGUGCAGGCAGUUCUUAGGACAGAGACCAUCACCCCAUCUCAGGGCCAUCAUCCCUUUCCAGAAGCACUGCAGCCACAUAUCGUACCCACCAUGUUUAUAAAGCUGGACCUUAAGAGCCUUUUGCUUUCUAACAUCACAUACCGAGCAUAAAGAAAAGCCAGAUUACAUUUCCACUUGCCAAAUAAUUUGUUUUAUUCAGUGAGCUGAAGCAGUGGAGGCUUUCCAAGCCCGCCUCUGGCUGCCCUCGGGAGGCACGGUGAGGAGCUGAGUGACACGGAUGGGAACGUGUGUGAGGGGAGCACCCAGAGUUGGCUGCUGGUGGUCCUGGGUGGCAAAGAGGAGCAAAAGGUGGCUGCUGUUCAGAGAAGAGCUAGCAGGCUCUGGGCUGCAGCCACCAGAGGGCACGUUCCAGCUUGCGAAGCACUGAUGUUACUGUAGUCUGAGCUCCUGAGCCUUCUGCAUCUCUUUAUGAACUCACUUGGAGCUUUGUUUUCUACUCUGCACUAAUCGUGGUGUACCAGGGAAAAAGAAUAUUCAGUUUGCUGGCACCUCAAAGUGCUUUGGUAGCCUCACAGUAUCCCACCGUUUUGAGUCAUGCUGUGACUGUGUGCCAGGUGAGCUACUGUCAAACGUGGUCAACCGAGCGCAGGAGGGCUUCAUACCCUUACAGAGGUGCUGAGAACUUUAGAGGGCACUUCUCUUAAAGCUCCAUAGAAAGAAAAAGUGAUGCUGGACCACUUAGCAGAUCCGUUUAUCAAUGUGUCUGGAAGAAUUUCAAGUAAGGUAAGACAGUAAUGAAGUUGGAGCCAAGACAGCAUCAACUGGGUUUGAGUAAAGAAGAGGUUGAAAAGAGAAGUCGGUGCCUUUUCCCUCAGCUCCUAUCAACUCCCAAAGAAAUAAAAUGAAAAGCCAGCAGCUGACCAUGGUGGCACACGUGACUGGCACACUCAACCUGGGGGAAGUGCACACAAUGAACCCCUUUCCUGGUUGAAUAGGCUCGCAGAAUGUCAACCCAUUUCCCCAGACAGCUGGGACAUUUCGGAGUCAUUCUGUAUCCUUUUAUUGCCGUUGCCAUGGUGAAAGACACUAAUUCACCUUUGUGCAAAACUUAAUAAAAAUCGGCCCAUCAUUCAUUUGUCUGUGGACCAUCGGAAGGGCUUGUGCUGAAUUUUUGAGACAGGCUUUUCACAAUCUAUUAAUCCACUCACUGAAGAGUUGGUUGUCUCAGUCUCUUGUGCGGGAUCUUUGUGGAGCACCAAGAGUGUCUGUAGUUGCCUUUGUCUGGAAAUGGGCAAAAGGCAGCUCGUUACCGUGGUUCAGCUGAAGUGCCAAAGUUAUCCUUGGGCUGAGCCUUCUUCAGUCUUAUGAGGAGAAUGGAGCUGUCUGGGGAAGCCUGUGAAUUGCUAAAAGGGCUGGAUUGCUCUGGCACUAAUCGGAAAUAGGCUUUUAUUGGCUCAAUUAAAAGGGGUGAAGUUGUGCAGUAACUGUGAAAUAUAACAAUAAUAAUGAUAGAAUCAUAUCAUAGAAUGGCCUGGGCUGAAAAGGACCACAAUGAUCACCCAGUUUCAACCCCCUGCUAUGUGCAGGGUCGCCAACCACCAGACCAGGCUGCCCAGAGCCACAUCCAGCCUGGCCUUGAAUGCCUCCAGGGAUGGGGCAUCCACAGCCUCCUUGGGCACCCUGUUCAGUGCGUCACCACCCUCUGGGUGAAAAACUUCCUCCUCAUAUCCAACCUAAACGUCCUCUGUCCCAGUUUAAGACCAUUCCCCAUAAUACUGAAAAAGUUGUAAGAAUAAAAAAAGCUUCUCACAUUCAGCCAAACGUGGCAGUUCCCACCUUAGGGCAGAGCCCUCACCCCAAAACCCAGACCCAAACCACACUGGGCAUUCACUGGCACAGCCGAGCUGUGGCCGUCCCCGGCCGCGGUGGGGAUGCCGCAUUGUGCUGCGGGCAUCAAUGCUCUCAAUGGGAUUAGGCUGCAGCAGGGCCGAAAGGCUGUGGGAAAACCUGCGUGUGUCGUGGUUCCCUCGGCUGCCGUCGCAGUAGAACGUCGCCGCUCGGCCAACAAUGGGGUUAAAAAGUAAGAGCAACUGUUGGUGGGGGCUUGGUUUUGAAUUAUGUAUUCAUGAAUCUGCAUAAUGGCCUUUCAGCUGUGGCAUUGUUGCUGGCAACACAAUCUGGGAAUUGUGAGAAGAGACGGAGGGGUGAGGAAUGGAGAGGGGGAAAACGUGGAAAAAACUAAGGCUUAAUCAAAGGAGAGUGACAAACUGAAUGAAAUGAGAUUUUCUUCCCUGCUUACGCUGUGCCUAAGAAACAAGUCUUCAGCUGGAAAUGCUGACUGCUCUCACAAACUAAUAAUCCUUCUGCUUUCCCUCUGGCUGAUGGCUUAGGUCCCUAGGAGGGAGUGGAGCGAUGCUGUAAGCGCAGGCGUUGUGCCUGCUGAUCCCCGAGCACAACUGGAUCUUCCUGUCUCUUACACAAGGAGGACGAGCAAUAGAGCACCUAAUCCCUGCGGGUCCCAAUCACUGCGGAGAAGGCGUUGUAGGUACUAAAACUACAGCACAAAGCCCUUGGCUUGGCAUACUGGGGAUUUACUGCUGGGAGAUGAUUAACAUUACUGAGGCGUAGAAGCAGUGAAGAGCAGAUUUCCACGCUGUUUAAUAAGCAAGUUGACUUUACACAGACCUUAAAUCCUGUCUGCAGUGUUUAAUGAAGAACUGGGAUCUGCUGCAGUUCCUCUGAUCCUUUGUACUGCAGUUUUGGAAGGUGGAAUGAAUUCCACAGGUAGUUUGCUUUCGUAUACUAGUAACUCUUAUAACUACUUUAAAGUAAAGCAAACAAAUGGAAGAAUUGGUACCCAGAUAAUUUGUUCAAAGGAAUAAGUGAGAAUGACCGGGUGAAUACUUGUUUGGUCCAACUGGGAGCGAUGUACCAUUGCUGCUCAGCCCAAUUCCAGUUGGGACCAUUCAUCUGGUACAGCCACGUCUCCGAAUCCCUACAGAUACAGUGUUUGCAAACUUAAUCAGGAGCAACAGGUUUUUCUCAUGACCUAUUGUAUAGUUUCCCUUCUGAAUGGGCUGUUGUGCUGUUCCAUCUGCAGGCAGCUCCGGCUGCAACAUAAAGAGCUCUGUUCUGCCCUUGUGCCCCUCUGUAUUUCACACUGGUGCGCAGAAAUGGCACUACACAUCUCCUCUUUCAAGUGACACCGAAUGCUUCAUUUUCUCCCCCAUUCACUGAGGAUUUAAUUGCCCUGCACAUCAAAAGAGGAAUAUCUCCCCAAUUACCAUCCUCCUUCCCAGAAAAUAGUUAACUGCGUAUCUCAGGAAACCUGCCAAGAUAUCCAGGCACCGAGGGCAGAAUGGAAGUGUGCUGAUGUGGGCUGGGGGAGCAGGAGAAGGAAGAGGAGCUGAUGCAGGCGAGCAAAUGUUAAAACACUCCAUUUUUUUCCGUGCACCUCCUUUUAGCAGCAGAAAAAGGAGAUACACAACUGCCUUCUGACCACGCUCAGGGCUUAUGCCCUCCCUUCCCAUAUGAAGAUGAACUGCAUUAAUUACAGCGGUGACAGAGCCAGUGCAGUGUUUUUGCAAGAGGUUUGAUGCCCUUGCCUUAAAAAUAUGCUUAGGCUAUUUGCCAGUUAUAAAGAAAUGUUUGACAAAAGAAUCAGGUCAGAUUCAAGCUGCACUAAGAAUUACAGUUUUGGGGGGUGGGGGGAGGGAAUGAGUCUUCAGGUCACUGUAGGGCUGGGUUUUAAUAAUAAAAUCUUACAGACAAUUGAAACUGAUUUUUUUCAUUAAAAGUCUGCAAUCCCUUCGUGGUUCCAGUCCUGGAAAUGUAAACCUCUCAAAAUUUCAAGAGAAUACUUCUGUGCUGGUUUUUCCUUUUUCUCCCCUUCUCUCUCUCCUUCCCGGAUCUCUUUGGUAUCUGUUUUACACACCUGCUGGAGGAUGAAGCUCUGUUUUUUGUCACCAGGAGAGUUUUCCUAAUACAAAAAAAUAAAAAUAAAAAAGGAUAACUGCAUUUCUACUGUAUAGAAGCGUGCUGGGAUUUGUAGAGAUUUUCCCCUCCAGCUUUGCAGCAAUGUAGAAUUCAGCCAGAAGUGUUGGCCUAAAAAGUUUGCCAUAUCAUAUAGGAGUCAGGAGCCUCGUCAUGGGCUGAUAAUAUGGAUAUGCCUUCAAAGGGAACUAGAAAUUCAGAGAAGAUUUUGCUGGGGCUGAGUGUAUCAGAGUAAAUCAUGAGAUCAUAGAAUGGCUUGGGUUGGAAGGGACCUCAAGGGUCAUCUGGUUCCAACCCCCUGCCAUGGGUAGGGCUGCCAAACAGUGGAUCAAACUGCCAAGGAACGCAUCCAGCCUGGCCUUGAAUGCCUGCAGGAAUGGGGCAUCCACAGCCUCUCCGGGCAGCCUGUUCCAGUGCCUCACCACUGAGAAAGAACACCUUGAACUGUGAAGUGAUGGGAGCAUGAUUCAGAGUCCUGAGAGGCGGCUGAGAUAGGACAAUCUGGGAAAGCCUGGCACUGUGACCACACUGCCUGGAAUAUAGCUUCGUUGAGUCAUGGCUCAGAAAUGGCUUUUGUGUGUGUGUGCAUAGAAGAGUAUGCGCAAGGUAUCCAUCCUGGCCCUGACUCUGCAAAUCUCAGUCGUGUGCUGAAGCACAUGAAGCAUCCUGAAGGGAAACAGCUCUGCUUCCUUCCUUGAGGAUAAAAUGCUUUCAGUGUUAGGGCUCUUGGUGAUUUACUCUCACACGUUUGUUGCGUGGCAAUUUUAAGUCUCUGCCUACAAACCAGAAGAUUACACAGUGAAAAAAAGGGAGAGGGACAGAAGUGUUUUCAACAUUGCCCUGGAUGCAAGCAAGCACGAGGAGACAGCAGUUUGUGAAGACUGUUGAAGCAGCUGGAAAAAAUGCCAUUUGUCAGGGAAUUAUGAUAGUCUCGUCUAGACAAGGCCAGUGCCUGAAACGGCUUCCAAAUCCUGACAAAUCUGUGUGUGCUGCAACUUGGAAACAAAAUACAGAUUUUCACAGCGAUUUUUGUUGUGUUAAUAAAUGUAUGCUCCCAUGCGGAUGCACGUGCAGAGGGAAAAAUUGCAUUUGGUUUAUCUUGCUGUGGUUUGUGAGGUGGCUGUCCGUCACUCGGACCACAGACGUGGCGGGAUGUUUGCAAGUGCUCAACUUGGGACCUCUUAGAAGGGUCCUCAGAGGGCCAUCUGGUCCAACUCCCCUGCAAUGAACAGGGACAGCACAGUCAGAUCAGGUUGCCCAGGGCCUGAUCCAGCCUCACCCUGAAAGUCUCGUGGAGUGGGGCAUCAACCACAUCUCUGGGCAACCUGUUCCAGUCUCACCGCCCUCACUGUAAGAUUUUUUUCCUUAUAUCCAACCUAAAUCUACCUUCCCUGAGCUUGAAGCCAUUUCCCCUUGUUCUAUCAGCACAGCCCCUGCUAAAGAAUCUGUCCCCUUCUUUCCUGUAGCUCCCCUUUAGAUACCGACAGGCUGCUAUCAGAUCACCUUGCAGCCUUCUCUUCUCCAGACUGAACAGCCCCAGCUCCCUCAGCCUGUCCUCAUACGAGAGGUGUUCCAUUCCAUGGAUCAUUUCUGUGGCCCUCCUCUGGACGCCCUCCAACAGUUCGACGUCUCUCCUGUACAAAUCUAUCUCCUCUCUCUACUAAAUAGCCCGUUCCCAUUUGCCUCUGAACAUAACGCAACCAUCUGUUUAUUAUCUCAGAAAAAAAAAUGUGUGUUUUUAUAGGUGCAAUAAAACACAAUUUCAUUGUCUGCGAGGGGUUGUGGCUCUUAUUUUUAACCAUGGUUUUGUACUGAGAAGACUUGGAGGCAUCAGCUCCAUAUUCCCUUUUGCUGUCAGCUUCCCUCAGACUGUCGUGACCUGUUUCAUUAAAGCUGUUCCCCCUCUGCACUCCCCGAGCGUUGUGUUUAACGACAGACUUUCGCUGCUGGCAUUGGUUUUCAUUAUUGGUCUUUGCACUUCCAGCAUCUGGGAGCAGCGCACGCAGCAUAUGUUCAUAUAAUUUAUUUACAUUUAGGGAAAGUGUGGUGUAGAUUGUACCACGUUAAAUUCCCCUUUGGAUGACUGUUUCCUUGACGUGUUAGCACGGUGUUUUCGGAGCAUUAGCGUUUCCUGUAGUAAAGAAUUGAUUCACUGUUGUGUCCUAAUAUGAAUACCCCCAGUGCCCGUCUUGUGGUAUUUUUAGUUUCAAACACAGGUUGUGAUGCUGUGCGAUGUGCCGUGACCAAAUACUUCUGUUUCUUUCCCUGAACACCUUCCUCUAUCUUUGUCCUUUGGAUCGUGUGUGCGGAUGGAGACCGAGGUCAGUGCUCAUCACAAUGAAAUGGGAUGGCAUAAUUAUUGUUCCAGCUCGGUUCAAAGCUUGAAUGUUUCCAUAUUAAUGUCUGUCAUUCUCUUAUUAUGAAUGACAGUACUUCUGCUGGGAGCUGCCAAGAACAAUUUGAGCAUUAAAGAUGCAUGAGUAAAAAAAAAAGAAAGUAUUUUUUAAGCCGGUCCAUUUGAAUGUCUUAGAAAUAUGUGUUCAUAUCACAUCAAAACUGCCAGCAACGGGAGGGUUUUUCCUUUGCAGAAAGGAGGCCUUGUAAAUAGUUGUAUUCAUUGGAGUUAAAAUUAGGUUUCUGUGGUGUUGACUUGCAGCCAGCUUUUCCCACAGGGCAAUUUAUUAAAAAAAGAAAAACGAAAAAAAAAAAAGAAAAGGGGGGUGGUGGGGGGAAAGGAAGCCCUAAAAUAGCAACGUGUGUAUGACAUGUUCUGUGAACUUGAGAGCCCAUUCAGGCUAAAGCUUUCUUUGUAUUUCUUGGUGCCUCCAAGGAAGAGGAUGGCAAUAAGCUGAGUUUCCUUAUUUUCUAAUGCAUGGACUGUGACUUUGUUUUUUUUUUCUGAUUUGAGUUCUUAUAGGUGUAUUUUGUUGGACUGUCAUUAGAGGGAAGCAAUAAUACUCUUCCUCGAACCACUGGCUUGGGAGAACUUGCCCAGGUCCAUGAAGACCGCGGUUCUCCCACUGUGUUGUUGGAUUUAAAAAGAGUAGGGUUCAGAUGGAUGUCAGUGGUUGUUUUUUUGAGAAAGUAGAAUAAACAUUAUGGUCUGCCCAAUGCUUGUGUGUAUCACCAAACAAGUGAACUGCAGUUUGUACUGGACACUGUGGUUUCCUUAUUUUGGUACACUCUGAAGGCAAAAGCCCUCUGCUUUACCACAGCGCUGCCCAUUUGGGCACCAGCAAUAAUUUUCUUCCUGCCUUUGGCCAGUGUCAGAAAUAAAUCUUGGACUUUCUCCUGGGCAGACAUUGUUCAUUUUACCUCUCUCCUCUCUUUCUCAUGGCACGGCUCCACAAAGCGGUGGAGCGUGGGCUGCCAGCACAGCUCCUGGGGCUGUAAAACAAAGGGCCCUCCGAUGGCAACUUGGUCAGCAUGAAGCUUCUUACAGAGACAUUGAAGAAACUUCUUAUAGAGGAGACUGAGUUGAAUCCCCCCAUUCAUCCGAA
ensembl:lncRNA